UGGGGAAUUUUGGACAAUGGGCGAAAGCCUGAUCCAGCAAUGCCGCGUGUGUGAAGAAGGCCUUCGGGUUGUAAAGCACUUUUGUCCGGAAAGAAAUCCUUGGCUCUAAUACAGUCGGGGGAUGACGGUACCGGAAGAAUAAGCACCGGCUAACUACGUGCCAGCAGCCGCGGUAAUACGUAGGGUGCAAGCGUUAAUCGGAAUUACUGGGCGUAAAGCGUGCGCAGGCGGUUUGCUAAGACCGAUGUGAAAUCCCCGGGCUCAACCUGGGAACUGCAUUGGUGACUGGCAGGCUAGAGUAUGGCAGAGGGGGGUAGAAUUCCACGUGUAGCAGUGAAAUGCGUAGAGAUGUGGAGGAAUACCGAUGGCGAAGGCAGCCCCCUGGGCCAAUACUGACGCUCAUGCACGAAAGCGUGGGGAGCAAAACAGGAUUAGAUACCCUGGUAGUCCACGCCCUAAAACGAUGUCAACUAGUUGUUGGGAUUCAUUCCUUAGUAACGUAGCUAACGCGUGAAGUUGACCGCCUGGGGAGUACGUCGCAAGAUUAAAACUCAAAUGAAUUGACGGGGUCAUAGCUGUUU
rnacentral:rRNA from 1 species